rnacentral:rRNA from 1 species
GUAACGCGUACGAAACCUACCUUUAAGAGAGGGAUAGCCCUGGGAAACUGGGAGUAAUACCUCAUAGUAUUCAUUGACUGCAUGGUUGAUGGAUUAAAGCUGCGGCGCUUAAAGAUGGUCGUGCGUCUGAUUAGCUAGUUGGUAGGGUAACGGCCUACCAAGGCUACGAUCAGUAGGGGGCGUGAGAGCGUGGCCCCCCACACGGGUACUGAGACACGGACCCGACUCCUACGGGAGGCAGCAGUAAGGAAUAUUGGGCAAUGGACGCAAGUCUGACCCAGCCAUCCCGCGUGCAGGACGAAUGCCCUAUGGGUUGUAAACUGCUUUUGUUUGGGAAGAAAUGUAUUCUUUUAAGAGUAUUUGACAGUACCAGACGAAUAAGCACCGGCUAACUCCGUGCCAGCAGCCGCGGUAAUACGGAGGGUGCAAGCGUUAUCCGGAAUCACUGGGUUUAAAGGGUGCGUAGGCGGCCAGAUAAGUCAGAGGUGAAAGUUUCCGGCUCAACCGGGAGAUUGCCUUUGAUACUGUUUGGCUUGAAUCAGAUUGAGGUUGGCGGAAUGUGACAUGUAGCGGUGAAAUGCAUAGAUAUGUCAUAGAACAUCGAUUGCGAAGGCAGGUGGCUGGAUCUGUAUUGACGCUGAGGCA